rnacentral:rRNA from 1 species
AAUAUAUAGGUAACGUGCCCUAGAGAGGGGGAUAACAGUUGGAAACGACUGCUAACACCCCAUAUGCCUUUAUCACAUAAGUGAGCAAGGGAAAUAUUUAUAGCUCUAGGAUCGGCCUGUACGGUAUCAGCUAGUUGGUGAGGUAAUGGCUCACCAAGGCAAUGACACCUAACUGGUUUGAGAGGAUGAUCAGUCACACUGGAACUGAGACACGGUCCAG